UUUACAGUUUAUCCAAUCUUAUAUCUCUAUAUAUUUUUUACUAGUUUUAUCAUAUCUUGCAUUUUUACCUGUAUCUUUGUACAGUGCUUUGGACAUUUUACAUUGUUGUAAAUGUUCUAUAUAAAUAAACUUGACCUUGACCUU